CACACAGCGGCUCUGUCAGAGUUGAAAGUGAAAGUAGCUGCUGUUGCUGCAUUGAAGCUGCAUAGUUUCCUGUAAGUCACGUGGUCAGGGCUGGGUGGAGCUUCAUAUAAAUACUGAAGUCAGCAGGAAGGGAACGGCACAACUCCAGACCAGUUUAAGUGCGAGACUGUAAGGUACCUUCACCUCUAUUGAAGCCGAUGAGCAGGAACUAUGUCAGCACCUAAGAAAGCACAAUCCAACCAGGGUCUGGAGAGAUCAGUGACUUGUCCAAAUUGUAGACAGAUGUUUUUGACUUUUGUCAACUUUGAACUGAAGGAUGGCAGGUUAGAUUUCCAAAUGGAAGUAUUUGAAGUUAACGAUGUGGAAUCAGCCCUUGUCAGUCAGAGCUUUACCUAUAAACAACAGGACGAUGUGAAACAAAAGAGCACAGUGGAGUGUCCAUAUUGUCCAAAGACGUUUGAGCUGAUCAUUCACCUUACUAAGACUAUUAAAGAGAGCCAAUUAAAUCUUGAACUGUCCAUCACAACUUGUGCGGUCUGUGUGCCGGGUGAAAAAAAGGAAAAGGAAGAAACACCAAGAGGACAAAAAGGCCCAUCAGAAAAAACAGGUACCGGUACAUGCCUUAAAACAGAACUGACCAGUGGACAGUUAUAUCCCUGGUUAUAUCACACUGAGGUCACACAUAGUUUUGGAAUUUAUUUGAGUCCUGAUCUAAUAGACAAAUAAUAAAAGGCGUCUUCAUUAGAGCCUGUAUGUGAGGAUUUAAACCCACCAUCAUUUUUGUCAGAAGCCAUUCUAAUUAAAGGUCUAUUUAAAGUCACAAAGGUAUAUUACAAAUGUUCUGUAGAAGCAAACAAAUAUUUGCCUCUAACAAAUAAAUAUUUGGUAGAAAAUGUGGAACAUUACAAAUUACAUUUAUCAAGUUAAUAUAAUGGAGUCAUUUUUUUUAAAUUGACAUAUUUCUGAUUUUAUUUUACUCAAUCUGUCAUGGGACAUUUUUUUCCACAAAAGUUUGCAGUGCCUUCCACACCUAAUAUUACAGCUGGUAAACAUCUCUAAAAAUACCAAUGAAUAUUUUUUUAUUUUUUUGCACACAACUGGUUUUCUUAGAUCCAUCUUCAGAUUUGACAAUAAUUCUUAAAAAUCAUGGAGAAUAAGAUAUAAUUCUUUAGUGCUUCUAGAAAAACCUGAUUCAUGCCUAGACCCAGAUCACUAGAUAACUUCAAGAUCACUAUUUUGCCGAAAGAGUCUUUAAAUAUGGUGCGGGAACUUCAACCUUUUGACUGUCAAACAACAACUGGUAUAACUGGUGACUACUUGUUUUUUCAGGCUUAGGCUCACCUGUACUACACAGAGUGAAGGUUUUCUAUAUGUGCUCUGGUGAGACAUUUCGUGGUGAUGAUCAAGUGAAGGAACAAUUGAUGAUGGACAAACGGCGGACACUUCAUGUCCAGGAGACAAACCUGAAAGAUUCUGACAUUGUCAUUGUCUUCUGUCCAAUCACAUCCCGCGUUGGAUCAGACGUGGAGUCAUCCAUGAGAGAUAAAACAGCGUCAUCAUUGAAGAAACCAAUCAUCUUGGUUCUGAUGCAUCACACCAGAGACUUUGAGUAUUCAACUGCAGGAACAACCUGGUCUGACGUUUAUCCAAAUGUUGUCCUUGAUGUUCAUGUUCUGUUCCAUGAGACUAAACCAGGACUAUUGAAAUGUAGACAAAAUGAGGAGGCUUUCGAGAUGAUUAAAAAAGAGCUAAAUAAACAUUCAAAACCAGUCUUUGGAAUGUUAGCACACCAUCAGACUCGUUGAGAAUGUUACGAAACAUUAAAUAUCCAGUGAGCAGCAGUUAUCUGGGAAGAAAUACUGAAUAAAUGUCAGAAGGAGAAUGAAUAGACUGGUUCAAAAUUAUAGAAAUUAAGCAGUAGCUUAAAACCCACUUAUUAAAACCCAAAUAUGUCUAACAUACCGUUUCUGAACACACAAUAUGUUUAAUCAUAAAGCAAAUGGACUAUAUUGACAGAAGAGAAAACUCCUACCAGCCCAGAACAGGAAGCAUCAACAGAGCAUCGUUUAAACACCACAGCCUAACUAAGUAUGAUUCCUGACCAUGUCCAUCCCUUUAUGAUCACAGUUUACCCAUACUCUGAACGCUACUUCCAAAAGUGUAACGACAUUACGUUACAAAUUUAAAAUAAUUGUAAUCUGACAACUGACACUUCAACAUGACAAGUUCACUCAGCUCCAAAGAUCUCAGUCCAGGUGCUUUGGGAUGUAGUGAAAUGAAAGACUCAUGUCAUUGUCAUUGUAAGGCUGAAAUGAUUAAUCAGAUUAAUCAUAAUGGAUUGAUAAUUGUUCAUAACGCUUAAUGAAUUAAUUUAAUAAUUGAUUAACUGGAUUAUAGAGGAUAGAGACUCUGAAAAAGAAGGUCAUUUGCAGCGGUACGAGAGCGCCCCCACUGGCAAGAGGAUACAUGCACACAACAAACACGUCUAUAUACAUAAGAAAAAAAAGAAGAAAAAAGACAAGACCAA